GCGAGAUAAUGCAGGAUCUUUACAUCCUUGUUAUCCUGCUAAUGGAGAUUAUGUAGUUACUCAAGAGAGUGGAACAAAAUUGUUUCUUGGUGGUGGUGCAAAGGGUGAUAGCCGAAAAGAUGCUUCAACAUCCAAUUCGUGUUUGAGAAGCUCAAUUGGGUUGGCUGACCUAAAUGAACCAGCGCAGCUUGAUGAUGCAACCGAUCCUGUUGAAUUUCUUGG
rnacentral:misc_RNA from 1 species